rnacentral:rRNA from 1 species
GUCGGGAGUCUUGCACAAUGGGCGCAAGCCUGAUCCAGCCAUGCCGCGUGCAGGAAGACGCAUCUAUGGUGUGUAAACUGCUUUUGUACGGGAAGAAACACUCCCUCGUGAGGGAGCUUGACGGUACCGUAAGAAUAAGGAUCGGCUAACUCCGUGCCAGCAGCCGCGGUAAUACGGAGGAUCCAAGCGUUAUCCGGAAUCAUUGGGUUUAAAGGGUCCGUAGGCGGUUUAAUAAGUCAGUGGUGAAAGCCCAUCGCUCAACGAUGGAACGGCCAUUGAUACUGUUAGACUUGAAUUACAAGGAAGUAACUAGAAUAUGUAGUGUAGCGGUGAAAUGCUUAGAUAUUACAUGGAAUACCAAUUGCGAAGGCAGGUUACUACUUGUGGAUUGACGCUGAUGGACGAAAGCGUGGGGAGCGAACAGGAUUAGAAACCCGAGUAGUCC